AUGCAUUUAUGUUCAACAAUUGUUUUAUUAUGAUUUACUAAAACACGGCGAUCCGAACAAGUACCCCGCUAUGAAAUAAUUGUUUAGUAGACCCCUUGCCAAAACAAUGACAAAGAUUGCGGCUAUUACGUGAUUAACUUCAUGAAGGAGGUCAUUAACAAAUGCACAACUGAAGUCCAAUUUAAUGUAGAUACAUAUACAGAUGAAAAAGUCAACCAAAUUAGGGAUAAUUGGUCAAAAUUUCUAAAUUCUUUUAAAACUGAUGUGUAAUGGUUCAAUUUGUAAUAUACAUUGUGUUAUGGUUCUGUUAAAUAUAAAUAGUUGUUUUGGUUCAA